UACACUCCUGCGGGAGGCAGCAGUGGGGAAUUUUGGACAAUGGGCGAAAGCCUGAUCCAGCCAUGCCGCGUGCAGGAUGAAGGCCUUCGGGUUGUAAACUGCUUUUGUACGGAACGAAACGGCCUUUUCUAAUAAAGAGGGCUAAUGACGGUACCGUAAGAAUAAGCACCGGCUAACUACGUGCCAGCAGCCGCGGUAAUACGUAGGGUGCAAGCGUUAAUCGGAAUUACUGGGCGUAAAGCGUGCGCAGGCGGUUAUGUAAGACAGUUGUGAAAUCCCCGGGCUCAACCUGGGAACUGCAUCUGUGACUGCAUAGCUAGAGUACGGUAGAGGGGGAUGGAAUUCCGCGUGUAGCAGUGAAAUGCGUAGAUAUGCGGAGGAACACCGAUGGCGAAGGCAAUCCCCUGGACCUGUACUGACGCUCAUGCACGAAAGCGUGGGGAGCAAACAGGAUUAGAUACCCCUGUAGUCCCAUGAU
rnacentral:rRNA from 1 species